GACGAACGCUGGCGGCGUGCUUAACACAUGCAAGUCGAACGGAAAGGCCCUGCUUUUGCGGGGUGCUCGAGUGGCGAACGGGUGAGUAACACGUGAGUAACCUGCCCUUGACUUUGGGAUAACUUCAGGAAACUGGGGCUAAUACCGGAUAGGAGCUCCUGCUGCAUGGUGGGGGUUGGAAAGUUUCGGCGGUUGGGGAUAGACUCGCGGCUUAUCAGCUUGUUGGUGGGGUAGUGGCUUACCAAGGCUUUGACGGGUAGCCGGCCUGAGAGGGUGACCGGCCACAUUGGGACUGAGAUACGGACCAGACUCCUACGGGAGGCAGCAGUGGGGAAUAUUGCGCAAUGGGCGGAAGCCUGAUGCAGCGACGCCGCGUGCGGGAUGACGGCCUUCGGGUUGUAAACAGCUUUCGCCUGUGACGAAGCGUGAGUGACGGUAAUGGAUAAAGAAGCACCGGCUAACUACGUG
rnacentral:rRNA from 1 species